rnacentral:rRNA from 1 species
GAUACUGGCUCAGGAUGAACGCUAGCGGCAGGCUUAACACAUGCAAGUCGAGGGGCAGCGAGAUCAAAGCUUGCUUUGAUUGUCGGCGACCGGCGCACGGGUGCGUAACGCGUAUGCAACCUACCCACUACAGGGGGAUAACACUGAGAAAUCGGUACUAAUACCCCAUAAUAUCUUGGAAGGCAUCUUCUGGGGUUGAAAACUCCGGUGGUAGUGGAUGGGCAUGCGUUGUAUUAGCUAG